CGCGGUAAUACGGAGGGUGCGAGCGUUGUCCGGAUUUAUUGGGUUUAAAGGGUGCGUAGGCGGCCCGUUAAGUCCGGGGUGAAAGCCCGCUGCUCAACAGCGGAACUGCCCUGGAUACUGACGGGCUUGAGUACAGACGAGGUUGGCGGAAUGGACGGAGUAGCGGUGAAAUGCAUAGAUACCGUCCAGAACCCCGAUUGCGAAGGCAGCUGACUAGGCUGUUACUGACGCUGAGGCACGAAAGCGUGGGGAGCGAACAGGAUUAGAUACCCUGGUAGUCCACGCCGUAAACGAUGGAUACUCGCUGCGAGCUAAAGAUUGUUCGUGGCUUAGGGAAACCGAUAAGUAUCCCACCUGGGGAGUACGCCGGCAACGGUGAAACUCAAAGGAAUUGACGGGGGCCCGCA
rnacentral:rRNA from 16 species